UUCAUCGCCACACCCCCGUCCCGAUCGCAUCGGCUCCGGUAUCAUUAAGAUAAAAUUAAUUGGACUCCACCGGUCUUCCGCGUCCUCGUCGAGAUGAAAAAACUGGGCACACGUGGUCACUACCGUUCAUUUACGAACGCGAAUUAUGCGUAGUACGGCAGGUGGCAGGUGGCGAGAGCAUGGGAACCCGGGGUUGAGGCGAGUUCCCACGGCCGCGUCAUUCACCACGCCACACCUGCGCCCCUUAACGGGGAUGCUACACACACGCCCGCCACGCGAACGAAAGCGCCGAUUAGAAGCGCGACGCGAGUGUGCGCGCGCGCUGCGAGCGUGUCGCGACGCGUGGAUGUAUGCUUGUGUGCGUGUCCCGCGGCCAGCUCCAGUUACAGGAUUUAUUCAAAAUCAUGUAAUAUAUCCAGUCAACAACGGAGCAUCGAUUUGGCCAUCAUCAUGAAUACACAUGAAAUCAAUUCCUUCUAGUCUAAGUUAUAAUUGCACUUAUAUUCUGGUCACAACCACACAUAUGUAAGGCUUCUAUUUACCAAAAUAACUUCUAAAAAUAAAUCACAUUUUCAACCCA